AGCCUUUUCCAUAGGAUGGUUUUUAAAAGGUUAUCACUAAGUAGGAGUCGAAAGGUGUAUAGCACACCCCUGGUGAGCUUUAUAGAGGAAAAAGAGGAAGAAAAUUUAGCGAAGUGUUUUUGUACUGGGCAGAAACACUGUGCUAAUUAUGGGGCAAACCAGCUUGUCUUUGGAACUGGAACAAGACUCACCAUCCUUCCCCAUAUCACGGACCCGAAGCCCUCCGUAUACCAGCUGAGAAACCCUAAAUCCAGCGAUACUUCCAUCUGCCUAUUCACCGAUUUUAAUUCUGAAGAUAAAGGGAAUUUCAGAAAAGAAGGAGUGUUCUUCUUCAACAGUACUACGCUGGACAUGAAGGUCAUGAAUUUCAAGAGCAAUGGGAUGCUGGCCUGGAGCAAGACAUCUGACUUUACAUGCAAUGACACCUUCAACAAGAUAGAGUUCUACUCCAGCUCAAACUAUUCCUGUGAUGCCCAGUUGACAGAGAAAGGCUUUGAAACAGAUAUGGAUCUCAACCUCCAAAACCUGUCACUGAUUGGGUUCCGCAUCCUCCUCCUGAAAGUGGUCGGCUUUAACCUGUUCAUGACACUGCGGCUGUGGUCCAGCUGAGGUCGCCAAGAAUGUGAGAGCCCAGUGCUCCCUCACUCCUUGCUCCUCGCCACCCCUCCUUUCCCUCUUUAAGCAAAGAGGCGCACCCUCUGCCCCCAAGGGGGAAAAGGCUCCCUCCGCCUCUCUGGCCCCACUGGCAAUGCCACCAACUGGAUCCUACAGGAUAUCUGUGAUCAAGAUGCUGAAGAGCUGCCAAACACUGCUGCCACCCCCUCUGUUCCCUCACUGCUGCUUGUCACUGCCUGACAUUCCCAGCAAAGGUCGGGGCUGCUGCAGCCUCUCCUGGCUGUGGAGGAACUCCUGCCCCUCCCCAGAGACCGCCUCUGUUCCCACUGGAUGAUGGAUCCCCCAUGGUUUCUCUUGAGCUCUAGCUCCCGGAGAAUGUUGUGAGAAGUUUAUAUUUUUUUCAAUAGUGUUCAUAAAGAAAUACAUAUCACCCUUUUUCCCAAGAUGUGGGGAAAAUUAUCUCAUUAUCUAGGCCCUGCUAUGCUGUGUAUGUGAACCACAUUGUAUAUUCUGCUGCCCAUGGCUUCAUUAAAAGCGAUUUGGAAGAGCA